rnacentral:rRNA from 1 species
AUUGAACGCUGGCGGCAGGCUUAACACAUGCAAGUCGAGCGAGCGGCGGACGGGAGUGUAAGGUAUGGGAAACUGCCUGAUGGAGGGGGAUCACUACUGGAAACUGUAGCUAAAUCCGCAUACCUUCAGAUGUGCCCAGGUGGGUUUAGCUAGUGGGUGGGGGAAUGGCUGACCUAGGCGACGAACCGUAGCUGGUCUGAGAGGAUGACCAGCCACACUGGAACUGAGACACGGGCCAGACUCCUACGGGAGGCAGCAGUGGGGAAUAUUGCACAAUGGGCGCAAGCCUGAUGCAGCCAUGCCGCGUGUGUGAAGAAGGUCUUCGGGUUGUAAAGCACUUUCAGCGAGGAGGCGUUACUCGCAGAAGAAGCACCGGCUAACUCCGUGCCAGCCGCCGCGGUAAUUC